rnacentral:rRNA from 1 species
UGGGGAAUAUUGCACAAUGGGCGGAAGCCUGAUGCAGCAACGCCGCGUGCGGGAUGACGGCCUUCGGGUUGUAAACCGCUUUCGCCUGUGACGAAGCGUGAGUGACGGUAAUGGGUAAAGAAGCACCGGCUAACUACGUGCCAGCAGCCGCGGUGAUACGUAGGGUGCGAGCGUUGUCCGGAUUUAUUGGGCGUAAAGGGCUCGUAGGUGGUUGAUCGCGUCGGAAGUGUAAUCUUGGGGCUUAACCCUGAGCGUGCUUUCGAUACGGGUUGACUUGAGGAAGGUAGGGGAGAAUGGAAUUCCUGGUGGAGCGGUGGAAUGCGCAGAUAUCAGGAGGAACACCAGUGGCGAAGGCGGUUCUCUGGGCCUUUCCUGACGCUGAGGAGCGAAAGCGUGGGGAGCGAACAGGCUUAGAUACCCUGGUAGUCCACGCUGUAAACGGUGGGUACUAGGUGUGGGGUCCAUUCCACGGGUUCCGUGCCGUAGCUAACGCUUUAAGUACCCCGCCUGGGGAGUACGGCCGCAAGGCUAA